rnacentral:rRNA from 1 species
GACGAACGCUGGCGGCGUGCUUAACACAUGUAAGUCGAACGGAAAGACCCUGCUUUUGUGGGGUGCUCGAGUGGCGAACGGGUGAGUAACACGUGAGUAACCUGCCCUUGACUUUGGGAUAACUUCAGGAAACUGGGGCUAAUACCGGAUAGGAGCUCCUGCUGCAUGGUGGGGGUUGGAAAGUUUCGGCGGUUGGGGAUGGACUCGCGGCUUAUCAGCUUGUUGGUGGGGUAGUGGCUUACCAAGGCUUU